GUUUGGAGUGGCACCCUCCAUCGAUGGUCCAGUCCUAUCGUAGCACUGGAGCCAUAAAUCUGGCUAAAGAAUCGAAGAACCAGCAUACUCUGUAUUACUAUUGCUUUUGAUUUUAGAUUAGGGUGACAUCGAUCUUUGGAAGAUCGAUAAAAAGGGAGAACUUGACCGACCCAUUUGCAGAGGCCUCGAAACUAGGAAGUUCUACGAAAUCAAGUAGAAGAUAGGAUAUUUGAUAUCAUUCUGAUUGGCUUUAGUACAAGUGGGAGUUGUUGAAAAAUAUAUCCUAAAGCCUAUCAUCUAAGUGAUAGAUGAUUGAAAUUAGUAUAUGAAUUAUCUAAUAAUAAUAGUUAUUUGGCAGAUUCAUCAUAAAAGUUCUAUCUUCCUUAAAUGAACUCCUAAAUUAUGAUGAAGUCCUUAGAACCAUAAUCAAUCGAUAAAGAAGGAUUUAUCAGAUGGUUCUUAAAUUGUUCACGAUCAAAUGAUAAGUUAUUAACAAAGAUGAUAAUUUAUCAAUUGUAGGUCGCUGUAUGCCAUAUGCAUUGGUUGUCCUCAUAACCAAGUGGUGUGGAAACACUGGUAUGGCAUCCAGGUG
rnacentral:lncRNA from 1 species